CUCCCGCCCCCAAAAGCGGAGACCGAAGAACCGCCAGGUUGUCGAGGACACGUCUGAAGAGGAGGCGGGCGCCCUCUAAGUUGACCACCCUACCCACUAAUGGACUAUGAGGGGGGGGAAGGCGAACGGGAACCGACCGAAAACCCUCUCUUUACUCAAUGGAUAGCGCUUAUUCUCUUUCAAUCAACAAAAUGAGAAAUGGGGGAGAAAGAAAAAAAAGAGGUCUUUAUUGAAGAGGCUUUGCACCUGAAAUAGGACUAAUGCAGAUCCAGAAGAAUGGUCUGGGCUUUCGAAAAGAUGAAGAUGCAAGGGGUAAAGAGACAGUCUUUUGAACAAGCAAGCUGACAUAAGGAUUCUAGCUCG
rnacentral:lncRNA from 1 species